AUUUAUAGCUCUAACAGGAAGUGGGAGGUGGAGAAGCCCACUCACCUCCCUCUCCAGACUCAGGGAAGGGAAUGAGAAGGUGCCACACAGAGCCCUGGCAGGACCGAGGGCCACACAGGCUGCCUGGCUGCCGUCCCAGACCUGUGGCCACAUGAGAUUUAGGUUUCGAUGUGGCACAGCUUCAAAUGGAUACACGAGGGGAUAGUCAUCUUCUGUGAGAAACAGUGGCACCUUUUCCCAAAGACAAAUAGUUAAGACAUCACUCCUAUUUUUUCAGCUGCCCCAAGUAAUUGCUCUUUUGACGUUUUUGAAAAAGUUCCCCAAAGCUGAAGAGCCUCUCAGUAAAACCAAAAAUCAAAAGCACCAAUUAAGCGCAAAGCGAGUUUGGGUGGAGUCUUCAUCCUGGAUGCCAAGGAACAUGAAAAUGGAAGGUCAAGUUCCUAUGUGCCGCAGAGAUGAUGACAAACCAGUAGGAACUGGCAACCCUGCUACGUUGCAGGUUCUCAAUAGCAGUUAAAGCAGUAACAACAUCGCAACAGAAACGGCUUGAUUACCGGUUCGGGUUCUUGCUGAUCUUGAUUCUCGACCCCAUUUAUGGAAAUGUCAUCAACGCCAGAGAGAAGUUUGGAGAAGGCUGCUCUGUGUUGUCCAUUCUCCUGCCCCUUUAACUUCUGACGAAAAUAGUCCCCUUCCAGCCAGAGGUUUGUUUGCUUCCUAGAGCAUUUAAAUAACAUCAAAAUAGAGCUUUCCAGAAAGAUACAUGAACAACUUCUUCCUACCAGAUUAUCUGUUGUUAUUGGAAACUAAAGGAAAUUCCACUCCCCAUCAGAUGCCAACCCCACAUGUUCCCUGGGAACUACAGACGUAGGCUACUACUUACAUCACCAAAAACUGCUGCUGAGGCCCAAUCACCGAGCCAGGUCUGCAGAUCCUGACCCACGCAAUGGUCUCGGCUGCUGUCAUCCUGUAAUGCUUCAUGAUGUAGCAGGCUAUCAGAGUGCCCGUGCGACCAAGGCCAGCUAGGAAAAGAAAGCAGCACAGAAAUGAAACUUGGGCUGAUGUACUCCAGGAUUUUGUUGGGCAGAAUUUUUUUAAAAGGCUUCUCAUGACUCUGCUUCUUUCAAUAGUGGUUCUCAAGGCUGGUUACACUCUGGAAUCACCUAGAGAGGUUUUUAAAUACUGAUGCCCGGUCUCACAUCCGGAAUGUAUUUAUUAUUUGUUUCAUUUAUUUAUUUAUUUUUGAGACGGAGUCUCACUCUGUCGCCCAGCAGGCUGGAGUGCAAUGAUGCAAUCUCAGCUCACUGCAACCUUCACCUCCUGGGCUCAAGCAAUUCUCCUACCUCAGCCUCCCAAGUAGCUGGGAUUUACAGCCAUGUGCCACCACACCCGGCUAAUGUCUGUAUUUUCAGUAGAGACGGGGCUUCACCAUGUUGGCCAAGCUGGUCUCAAACUCACCUCACCUCAGGUGAUCCGCCUGCCUUGGCCUCCUAAAAUGCUGGUAUUAUACACUUGAGCCACCACGCCUGGCCUUACGCCAAGAAUUUAGAUUUAACUGGUAUGCAGCAUAGCUUGGACACAGAGAUUCCUAAAAUCUUCCAGAUGAUUCUACGUGUAGCCGAGGUGGAGAAUCACUUUCUGAGCAAUGAUUCUCAGUAAGAGCAGUGUCUUCUGCCCUGGGCAUUUUAGAAAAAUGGUACCACCAUCUUUGCAAAACCAAAGGCUUGUAAUUUUGCACUUACUCCCACAUCCAAUUAUGUUUUCUGGUCUGUAAUACCCAUUUUCACUCAGAUUUUUUUAAACCUCUAUUGGUGCUGGCCUGUCUUAUCUAGACUAUUAUCAUUACCUCCAGUGAUGGUUAAUUUUAUGUGUCAAUCCGGAAUGAAUCUUUGGAGAUUAACAUUUAAGUUGGUGAGCUCUCAGUAAGCACAGUUCCCUCCAUAAUGUGGAUGGGCCCCAUCCAAUUAGCUGAAAAACCUGGGCAGAACAAAAACCCUGACUUUCCUGAGCAAGAGACUGCCUUUGGCUUUCAUCUGCACCAUCAACUCUCCCAUGUUUCCAGGCUGCUGGCCCACGCUGCAUAUUUUGGACUCACCAGAAUCCAUACUUGCAUGAGCCAAUUCCUUUUAAUAAAUCUCCUACAUAUAAAAAAAAUCCUACUGCUUGUUUUUCUGGAGAACCCUAAAUACAGAUUUGGAUCAUGAGAUAGGGGUCACCGUAACAACUACAUAGAAAUGGAGAAGUGGCUUUGUGAGUGACAACCUUGGAUAUUUAGCAGAGGAGAUUCGUAAGGGAAGUGUUGAAGAUACAACCUGGUUUCUCCUUACUGGUUACUUUAAAAUGCAAAAGGAAAAAGACGAAUUAAAGAAGAAAUUGUUAAGCAACAAGGAAUCAGGAACUAGAGUCAGAAAAUUCUCAGGCUAUCCAUAUUGCAAAAAAUAAGAGUGUUACAGAGAGAAAAAUCAAGGGUGUGGCUGGACACUCCCCCUCUAAAGAGAUUACCUAGACUUAAUCAGCCAUCUCAGCAGAAGCAAGGACAAGAGAUGGGAUUAUACCAGCAGAGACACUGGCAUCUUGCACUAAAGGGGAUGGACAUGGAAUAAAAUAAAGUAAGGCUUUUGGACUUCUGACAGCAGAGCUACCUGGAUGCAAACAUUCUUUGUCCUUCAAGAAAAGGAAGGAUGAUCCCAAGGGCAAUUUAGAGACCCCCAGUGCUGCCACUGCCACCAAGACAGAGUAUAUAAGCACAGGGCAGGCCUGCCUACUCCUUGAUUUCACAGGGUAGGGCCACCUCUAUUAGUUACAGCAAACCCAGCUGCCUCUGACCACAGCCCUCAGGGACAAAGCCACUACCCUAGAGGGCCUGGAGGGCAGAGCGUGGAGCCAAAGAGGAUGAUUCUCUAGCCUUAAGAUGUAAUGGGAUUUGCCUGGCUAGGUUUUGGACUUGCUUAGAAGCUCUUUCUUCUGGUUUCUCCCUUUUGGAAUGGUAAUGUCUAUCCUGUGCCUGUACCAUCCCAUCACAGCUGGGAGGAAUUAUGCCUCAGGAUGGAUCAUACCUCAAGUCUCCCCUAUACCUGAGUUGGAUGCUAUUUAGAUGAGACUCUGAACUUGGAGUUGAUGCCGGAAUGAAUUGAGAUGUUCAGAACUGUUGAGAUGGGGUAAAUGUAUUUUUGAAGUGAAGAGACAUAAAUUUGAGGGGGGCCAGAUGGCAGAAUAUAAUGAACUGAAUUGUGUCCCCCCUAACCCAAAUCCAUAUAUUGUUCUAAGUCCCAAUACAACUGUAUUUGCAGAUAAGGCCUUUACGGAAAUAAAUAAGGUCACAGACUGGGGCCCUAAUCCAAUAGGACUGUUGUACUUCUAAGAAAAAAAAGAGAUAGGCCGGGUGCAGUGGCUCACACCUGUAAUCCCAGCAGUUUGGGAGGCCGAGGCGGGCAGAUCAUGAGGUCAGGAGAUUGAGACCAUCCUGGCUAACACAGUGAAACCCUGUCUCUACUAAAAAAUACAAAAAAUUAGCCGGGCGUGGUGGCGGGCACCUGUAGUCCCAGCUACUCGGGAGGCUGAGGCAGGAGAAUGGCGUGAACCCGGGAGGCGGAGCUUGCAGUGAGCUGAGAUCGCGCCACUUUACUCCAGCCUGGGAGACAGAGCGCGACUCCAUCUCAAAAAAAUAAAAGAAAGAGAUGGCAGGAGUUAAGUGCAAACCAUGAGAAGACUCAGAGAUGACAGACAUCUGCACUGCAAGCCAAGGAGAGAGGCCUCCCCAGAAAACAUCCCUGCCAGUGCCUUGCCCUUAGACUUCUAGCCUCCAGAACUGUGAGAGAAUUAACUUCUGUUGUUUAAGCCACCCAGUUGGUGAUAUGCCCCAGCAGAUUAAUAUACCUCUUAAUGAAUCUCAAUUUUCACUGUACAGCCCAAUUUUCAUACUGUCAUCAUUUUUCUUCCCUAAACAAAGAUGCAAUCAAAUAAGAUCCUCUCUAGGCUUUUAAUUGGUCAUCAUUCUAUUUCAGGGUAUCUCAACCUCAGCAGUACUAACAUUUGAGGCUGGAUAAUUAUUUAUAGUGAGGAGCUGUCCUGUGCGCUGUAGGAUGUUUAGCAGCAUCGCUGAUCUCUACCCACCAGAUGCCCGUAGUACCCAACCCCCAAAAAAGGUCUCUGCAGGUUGCCAAAUGUCGGGUGUGUGAUGGGGUUGGGGUGCAAAAGGACCUUGCUGAAGAAUUACUUCAACUGCUUUUUAUAAUUAAAAAAUGAAAUAAGCAAUGCUG
rnacentral:lncRNA from 1 species